GUGGGGGAUAUUGCACAAUGGGGGGAACCCUGAUGCAGCGACGCCGCGUGGACGAAGAAGUAUUUCGGUAUGUAAAGUCUUAUCAGCAGGGAAGAAGAAAUGACGGUACCUGACUAAGAAGCCCCGGCUAACUACGUGCCAGCAGCCGCGGUAAUACGUAGGGGGCAAGCGUUAUCCGGAUUUACUGGGUGUAAAGGGAGCGCAGGCGGCAGCGCAAGUCUGAUGUGAAAGCCCGGGGCCCAACCGCGGGACUGCAUUGGAAACUGCGCAGCUGGAGUGCCGGAGGGGUAAGCGGAAUUCCUAGUGUAGCGGUGAAAUGCGUAGAUAUUAGGAGGAACACCAGUGGCGAAGGCGGCUUACUGGACUGUAACUGACGUUGAGGCUCGAAAGCGUGGGGAGCAAACAGGA
rnacentral:rRNA from 1 species